rnacentral:rRNA from 1 species
GCCUGGAGCGUCAGCUCCUGCAAGCCCGGCAACGGUGUCGCCUCCCUCCGCGACGACAGCCUCGACACCUACUGGCAGUCGGACGGCGCGCAGCCGCACCUGGUCAAAAUUAAUCUGUUGCUGGAUUGGGGGCUUCAGCUUGUUGUGCUGUACGUGGAUUUCAAGCUGGACGAGAGCUACAUGCCCAGCAAGAUCUCCAUCCGGGCCGGCGACGGCUUCCACAAUCUCAAGGAAAUUAAAACGGUGGACCUUUUGAAGCCAGUAGGAUGGGUUCAUAUAUCAUUAUCCGGCACUGAUCCCCGAGAAACAUUCAUUCAUACAUUUAUGCUCCAAAUUGCGGUGCUGGCCAAUCACCUGAACGGGAGGGACACCCAUGUCCGGCAGAUCAAGAUAUACGGGCCACGACCGUGA